UUUCAUCGGCUAAGAUGGUUUUAGCCGACGAAUAACCUAAUAUUUCGUCGGCUUUAGUUAUUUUUUAAUUUUUUAAUUACAUACUAUAGCCGACGAAUAACCUAAUAUUUCUUCGACUUUAGUUAUUUUUUAAUUUUUUCAUUACAUACUAUAGCCGACGAAUACGUUAGGGUAUUCGUCGGCUAAACCUUAAAAGUUUUCUAUUACAUACUAUAGCCCUAUCUUCGGUGGUUAUUUUCAGUAAAAUUUUUAGACGACUUCUUGCGUCUCAUCGGUUUGAAACUAUUUUCAGUUGGAGGUCUGGCCAAAAUACGUAAUUUAGAUGGUCGAACGACCUUUUCCGUGAGUUUAGGGGUUUGACUAACGGGAUUAACCGUCCGGAUCGAGCUCUUAACCUUGUCGGAUCAAGUUGAAUUUUUUCCCAUACAAGUAUUUUGUCAUGAUGGUCAGAUCUGACGGUCGGAUUUCUGUUUCUCAAGUUUGAUCAUCACAAUCACAACAUGCCUACUAAUGUUGUAUAACUUGUUUACCAAGUGUUAUGUAAAUAUUCCGUUUCAAAAACAAACUAUACGUAAAACCUUCAAACGCAAAAAAGUCGUGAAAUAAGAUAUGACUAGAAUAGUGAAAUACAUCCACAGUUGAAAAAUCACACUAUCCGGUAAAGAUUCGAUGCCGGUAGUUGCAGUCAAUGCAAUUUUUCAUUCUUUCCCCCUAUGAGUAGCCCUAUCUUCGGUGGUUAUUUUGCGUAAAAUUUUUAUACGACUUGUUGCGUGUCAUCCAUUUAAAACUAUUUUCAGUUGAAGGUCCGGUCAAAAUACGUAAUUUAGACGGUCGAACGACAUUUUCCAUGUGUUUAGGGGUUUGACUUACGAGAUUAACCGUCUGGAUCGAGUCCUUAUCCUUGUCGAAUCAAGUUGAAUUUUUGCCCAUACAUGUAUUUUGUCAUGAUGGUCAGAUCUGACUGUCGGAUUUCUGUUUCUCACGUUUGAUCAUCACAAUCACAAUGUGCCAAAUGUAUAAAAGUACUUUAGCCGACGAAUUUCAAAGGUUAGCCGACGAAUUUCAAAGGUUUAGCCAACGAAUUUCGAAGGUUUAGCCGACGAAAUUCAAAGGUUUAGUCGACGAAUUUUAUCUUAGCCGACGAGAUUUUUAUCUUUAGCCGACGAAAUAAUAGUUUCGUCGGCUAAAGUUGUCGUGUUUAACUUGCGCUUGACAGCAAAAAACCCUAGCCUCCUCUUCCGCCUCCUCCACCUCCUCUCCCUCUCCCGGUCUCCGCCUCCUCCGCCCUCUCCCGAUCUCCGCCUCCUCCCUCCUCCCUCCUCCCUCCUCCCUCCCUCUCCCGUCUCCGCCUCCUCCCUCCUCCCUCCCUCCCUCUCCCGGUCUCCAAGGUUAGUGUUUUUCUUCUUUUUUACUUUUGAUUUCGAAUUGAUUUUUAGGCUAUGUUUUAUGUUUUAUGUACUGUCCAAUUUCCCUAAUUUAUGUUUAGGAGAUAAAUUAUCCUUAUUUUUUAAACAUAUGCUUUGUUGAUAAUGAACUUGAAGCUUGCAUUCCAUGAUUAGGUAUUGCAUUCAUCGUGGGCUGGGUACGAAUUUUUAAACAUAAGAUACAAAAUACAAAAUAGAAAAACCUAUAUCAAAUCCGGAUGAAUAUAUAUAUAUAUAUAUAUAUAUAUUUUAUUGUAAUUCUAUAUUUUUGUAAUAAGUAUAAUUUUAAACAUAUAUAUAUUUCACAUUAUAUUAAGUGUUUAAAUUUAAGCAUGGACAUAAUGAAAAAAUAUGGUUUCAAAAAUAUUUUUUAUACAAUAAAGACAAAAUAAUCUAAAGCCUUAGAUUUGAGAAGGAUAAGCUUGAAUUUUUACUUUUUCAAUGUUGCCUCAGCCUUGAUUCAAAUUAAUAUUUUAAAUAGGAUGAGCGGCUAUUUUAGAUCGAAGAAGAGUUCGAAGGGCCAAAGGUCCGAAUCGUCUGAGGGAAUCUCUAGCAACCCCCAAACGACGUUUCAGGGCCAGAUGACAGCCAGACGUGCGAGCCUUCUGGAGACGGCUCAGAGGCAGCCGGAGGUGCCCCCUUCAUCGAGGCAGCGGGGCUUCCCUCAUUCCUCGAGGCAGUUGUUUUGCUCAGCCUCAGANNN
rnacentral:lncRNA from 1 species